rnacentral:rRNA from 1 species
CGCAGCCGCGGUAAUUCCAGCCCCCAAUAGCGUAUAUUAAAGUUGUUGCAGUUAAAAAGCUCGUAGUUGAAUUUCGGGAUCAAAUUGUCGGUCGUGCCUCGGUACGCACUGGUAUUAUUGGUUCCUACCUUCUGAAGAACCGCGAUGUCAUUAAUUUGGUGUCGUGGGGAAUCAGGACUGUUACUUUGAAAAAAUUAGAGUGUUUAAAGCAAGGCUUACGCUUGAAUACAUUAGCAUGGAAUAAUGAAAUAGGACGUUUGAUUCUAUUUUGUUGGUUUCUAGGAUCGACGUAAUGAUUAAUAGGGAUAGUUGGGGGCAUUAGUAUUCAAUUGUCAGAGGUGAAAUUCUUGGAUUUAUUGAAGACUAACUACUGCGAAAGCAUUUGCCAAGGAUAGUUUCAUUAAUCAAGAACGAAAGUUAGGGAUACGAAGACGAUCAGAUACCGUCGUAGUCUUAACCAUAAACUAUGCCGACUAGGGAUACGGAUGAUGUUAAUUUUUAAUGUACUUCAUUCGGCGUACCGUUACGGGGAACCAAAGGUGUUUUAGGGUUCGUA